rnacentral:rRNA from 1 species
UUCCGUAGGUGAACCUGCGGAAGGAUCAUUCGCACGCAUCCACAUAAGUUGAUCUGAAACUUGUUGGUGAGGUUCUGGGUGGUGGUGCAGCACAGCUGCAUCGCUCAUGUGGAAACUCGCGGGCGGCAAAUUGGGGUGGCGUUGUGCUGCUUUGAUCCUGCUGCUGUAGCUUCUGUGCGAUUGUGUGCAUGCUGGUGAUGUGGUGUAGUGUGCUCAUUUACAACCUUCAGCGAUGGAUGUCUCGGCUCAGACAACGAUGAAGGGCGCAGCGAAGUGUGAUGACCUUUGUGAAUUGCAGAAUUCCGUGAAUCAAUAGAGCUUUGAACGCGUGUUGUGCUGUCGGGAUAUACCUGCCAGCAUGCCUGAUUCAGUGCCUUAUUAUGUGACUUCUGGUGGCAUGCGCAUGCCGUUGUUGCGUCCAUGCAACCUGUGUGAAUGUGCAUGCCAGGGUGAUAUGCAUGCCCUUGAUAUGCUUAGUGAAUGCAAAGCGCUGCGUGCCAACAGCUACAUGAGCUAUCUGGUUGAUGCUGAUAGCCUGCUUGACGGCGGUGCGGAGCUUAUUGUGCUGUCCAACCCAUGGAGACAUGAAGGUAGGCUAGCAAACCUGCUGAAUUUAAGCAUAUCA